GAUGAACGCUGGCGGCGUGCCUAAUACAUGCGAGUCGAGCGAACAGACGAGGAGCUUGCUCCUCUGACGUUAGCGGCGGACGGGUGAGUAACACGUGGAUAACCUACCUAUAAGACUGGGAUAACUUCGGGAAACCGGAGCUAAUACCGGAUAAUAUAUUGAACCGCAUGGUUCAAUAGUGAAAGACGGUUUUGCUGUCACUUAUAGAUGGAUCCGCGCCGCAUUAGCUAGUUGGUAAGGUAACGGCUUACCAAGGCAACGAUGCGUAGCCGACCUGAGAGGGUGAUCGGCCACACUGGAACUGAGACACGGUCCAGACUCCUACGGGAGGCAGCAGUAGGGAAUCUUCCGCAAUGGGCGAAAGCCUGACGGAGCAACGCCGCGUGAGUGAUGAAGGUCUUCGGAUCGUAAAACUCUGUUAUUAGGGAAGAACAAAUGUGUAGGUAACUAUGCACGUCUUGACGGUACCUAAUCAGAAAGCCACGGCUAACUACGUG
rnacentral:rRNA from 1 species